GUUGGAAAUGAAAUUAUUGUCCAUUGAUAAUAUUGGAAAUAUUGUUAGAAAACAUUAAUAUUGUUCGUGUGUGGUUUGAAAGUCUGUUCUUGUUUGAUCCUUCGGAUUGUCACAAUAGUGCAUAGGUAACUAAUUGUAUCUGUUUCCGUAAGAAUUGUUUGAAUCGUCAUGGAUUGUUUUGAUAUUCGGGCUCCUGAAUUGAUGUUCUGUAGUCAAGUGGCGAUUGACCUGUAUGGUAUCGUUCCUAACAUCACAUAAGUAGAUUUUUAUAAAUUGGCUUAGGGUUCUGUUUGUCUCCUUAUGGUUGAUAAAUUUCUGUCUCCACCUGGUAAGGUUGUUUGACUUUUCCUUUGUUGUCAUAAAGAAGGUUCGGGCCUCUACCAUAUUGUUGUGAAGAGGUUUUUGAUAUUGUUGUUGAAAACUUCAGAUGGUGGUUACUUGUUAUGUUUGUAAUUUGAAUUGUCUUUGAUGGUUUCUAAUUGAUAAACAUGAUGUUGAUUUGCCUCUUCUUGUUUUCUGAGUUCUUCUACGGUUCUUGUAGUUAGAAAGGAUGUUUGGACUUCUGGGGACUACAUGUCGUUGUUGUGGACUGGCUUGGCAGCGAGGGUGGGACUCGCGCCUUCUUACCCUUUUUAAUGAAAUAAAUAAGACAACUCAAUUUGCUGGUUGGAACAAGGAUUGUAAUGUAAUGUAAUGUCAUGUUUCUUUUCUUUUUGAUCGUAAAAUAUUACAAUGCAUAAAUCAUACAGAUUAAUAACAGAUAACAUUAUCAAUUGACAAUAAAAAAUAUAUUUCUAUUUCAAAUAUUGCUCGAAUUAAACUUAUUAUAUUUAUUGAAUUAUUUCCUAUUAAUUUUCAAUUAAUUUAUUUUAUUAAAUUACUUUAAUUAACAUUAUAUAGCUUACCUUUUUAAUGAAAUAAAUAAGACAACUCAAUUUGCUGGUUGGAACAAGGAUUGUAAUGUAAUGUACGGGCAGUAGACUUAUAUUUGCUUUUAUAGUCACUACUCAUUACCCGACAUUCCUGUUCCCCAGACAAGAUUGAGCGUCUUUUGUAAAAGAUGGAAUGUGUUGCCAAAACAUUUAUUGCUUCAUAAUAUGCAAAAUGUAUUUAUUUGUUUUUGAAAAGCAUUUGGACUUUUAUUUCUUAAAUUAAAUAAAAUAAUAUUUUUGUAAGAAUUUCAAUUUCUGAUCUUUAUUAUAAUUGAUAAUUAAAGAUUUGUUAAAUUUUAAUUAAUAUCUUGUGUACGUCAAUCUUCGUAUCUAAACUUUUUGAUUGGUUAUUAAUACAAUCUUGUGUGCCUAAAUGUAUUACUGAAUAUUCAUGAUGCUGUAGUAUCUACACAUUCUGUGAAUAUGGUUAUAACCUUGGAUGUAAUAUCAAUUCAACAUACAUAUGUCCGUCGACCUAGCAACCUUCUAACAAGUGCCAAAUAACUAAUGAGGUUCUUGACUUGUACUAUCUUUGCUUGUCAUGCAUCUAAGAUAAUGGCUUGUUAUUCGCUAGCUUCUUUAUGUGUUUUCUUCUUACUUUUAUUUUCCUAUAUCAAUGAAUCAUUUUGACCUUUAUAUAAUCUUUUACUUGGAACUAUCUUAAUUACCUAUAAACCUAUAUUUUUGUUUAAAUAAGAUCUAUUUUAUUUCAAUUUCUAAUUAUUUCUAAAAGUGUCCUAAAUCCUUUCAUAACAUUAUUGUUGUGAUGGUAUUUUUGGACAUCAGUUGUGAAAGGAAGUUCUUCGUCGACUGUUGUGACGGGGAUUUUAUGUUGUUUUAGUUGUUGUAAUGUUAACUUCCCAGGGAGGUCACUUGUUAAUGUUGUUAUUACGGUUGUCUUCGGUGGUUUCUAAAUUGAACAACAUGGUGUUGAUUUGCCUCCUCUCGUUUGCUCAGCUCUUCUACGAUUCUUGUAGGUAGAAUGAUGUCUGGACAUCUGGGGACUACAUGUCGUUGUUGUGGACUGGCUUGGCAGCGAGGGUGGGACUCGCGCCUUCUUACCCUUUUUUAAUGAAAUAAAUAAGACAACUCAAUUUGCUGGUUGGAACAAGGAUUGUAAUGUAAUGUAAUGUCAUGUUUCUUUUCUUUUUGAUCGUAAAAUAUUACAAUGCAUAAAUCAUACAGAUUAAUAACAGAUAACAUUAUCAAUUGACAAUAAAAAUAUAUUUCUAUUUCAAAUAUUGCUCGAAUUAAACUUAUUAUAUUUAUUGAAUUAUUUCCUAUUAAUUUUCAAUUAAUUUAUUUUAUUAAAUUACUUUAAUUAACAUUAUAUAGCUUACCUUUUUAAUGAAAUAAAUAAGACAACUCAAUUUGCUGGUUGGAACAAGGAUUGUAAUGUAAUGUACGGGCAGUAGACUUAUAUUUGCUUUUAUAGUCACUACUCAUUACCCGACAUUCCUGUUCCCCAGACAAGAUUGAGCGUCUUUGUAAAAAGAUGGAAUGUGUUGCCAAAACAUUUAUUGCUUCAUAAUAUGCAAAAUGUAUUUAUUUGUUUUUUGAAAGCAUUUGGACUUUUAUUUCUUAAAUUAAAUAAAAUAAUAUUUUUGUAAGAAUUUCAAUUUCUGAUCUUUAUUAUAAUUGAUAAUUAAAGAUUUGUUAAAAUUUUAAUUAAUAUCUUGUGUACGUCAAUCUUCGUAUCUAAACUUUUUUUGAUUGGUUAUUAAUACAAUCUUGUGUGCCUAAAUGUAUUAACUGAAAUAUUCAUGAUGCUGUAGUAUCUACACAUUCUGUGAAUAUGGUUAUAACCUUGGAUGUAAUAUCAAUUCAACAUACAUAUGUCCGUCGACCUAGCAACCUUCUAAACAAGUGCCAAAUAACUAAUGAGGUUCUUGACUUGUACUAUUUUGCUUGUCAUGCAUCUAAGAUAAUGCUUGUUAUUCGCUAGCUUCUUUAUGUGUUUUCUUCUUACUUUAUUUUCCUAUAUCAAUGAAUCAUUUGACUUUAUAUAAUCUUUUACUUGGAACUAUCUUAAUUACCUAUAAACCUAUAUUUUUGUUUAAAUAAGAUCUAUUUUAUUUCAAUUUCUAAUUAUUUCUAAAAGUGUCCUAAAUCCUUUCAUAACAUUAUUGUUGUGAUGGUAUUUUUGGGACAUCAGUUGUGAAAGGAAGUUCUUCGUCGACUGUUGUGACGGGGAUUUUAUGUUGUUUUAGUUGUUGUAAUGUUAACUUCCCAGGGAGGUCACUUGUUAAUGUUGUUAUUACGGUUGUCUUCGGUGGUUUCUAAAUUGAACAACAUGGUGUUGAUUUGCCUCCUCUCGUUUGCUCAGUUCUUCUACGAUUCUUGUAGGUAGAAUGAUGUCUGGACAUCUGGGGACUACAUGUCGUUGUUGUGGACUGGCUUGGCAGCGAGGGUGGGACUCGCGCCUUCUUACCCUUUUUAAUGAAAUAAAUAAGACAACUCAAUUUGCUGGUUGGAACAAGGAUUGUAAUGUAAUGUAAUGUCAUGUUUUUUUUCUUUUUGAUCGUAAAAUAUUACAAUGCAUAAAUCAUACAGAUUAAUAACAGAUAACAUUAUCAAUUGACAAUAAAAAAUAUAUUUCUAUUUCAAAUAUUGCUCGAAUUAAACUUAUUAUAUUUAUUGAAUUAUUUCCUAUUAAUUUUCAAUUAAUUUAUUUUAUUAAAUUACUUUAAUUAACAUUAUAUAGCUUACCUUUUUAAUGAAAUAAAUAAGACAACUCAAUUUGCUGGUUGGAACAAGGAUUGUAAUGUAAUGUACGGGCAGUAGACUUAUAUUUGCUUUUAUAGUCACUACUCAUUACCCGACAUUCCUGUUCCCCAGACAAGAUUGAGCGUCUUUUUGUAAAAGAUGGAAUGUGUUGCCAAAACAUUUAUUGCUUCAUAAUAUGCAAAAUGUAUUUAUUUGUUUUUGAAAAGCAUUUGGACUUUUAUUUCUUAAAUUAAAUAAAAUAAUAUUUUUGUAAGAAUUUCAAUUUCUGAUCUUUAUUAUAAUUGAUAAUUAAAGAUUUGUUAAAUUUUAAUUAAUAUCUUGUGUACGUCAAUCUUCGUAUCUAAACUUUUUGAUUGGUUAUUAAUACAAUCUUGUGUGCCUAAAUGUAUUACUGAAUAUUCAUGAUGCUGUAGUAUCUACACAUUCUGUGAAUAUGGUUAUAACCUUGGAUGUAAUAUCAAUUCAACAUACAUAUGUCCGUCGACCUAGCAACCUUCUAAACAAGUGCCAAAUAACUAAUGAGGUUCUUGACUUGUACUAUUUUGCUUGUCAUGCAUCUAAGAUAAUGCUUGUUAUUCGCUAGCUUCUUUAUGUGUUUUCUUCUUACUUUAUUUUCCUAUAUCAAUGAAUCAUUUGACCUUUAUAUAAUCUUUUACUUGGAACUAUCUUAAUUACCUAUAAACCUAUAUUUUUGUUUAAAUAAGAUCUAUUUUAUUUCAAUUUCUAAUUAUUUCUAAAAGUGUCCUAAAUCCUUUCAUAACAUUACCCCCUUGUUAAGUUUGAAAUCUCCUGAUUUCAUUUUUUUUUUGCAAAUUGUUUUGAAUAUAACUUUAAUCUUUGAAUCUUAUUAAUUGUGAUUAAUUUAAUUUUUCCUGGUUUUGCAAUAAAUGAAACACAAAUACAUAUACAUACACAAAUUAUAUGAUGCAUGCACAAUGAAAAAUAACAAUAUUAUUAUGCCGAUCCUCUUCUGUGGAACAAAAGUCCACCUGCGAAAUAUUGGAGAUCUGUCUUUGGAUGUACUCCAACACGCGAAAAUAAGUCAUAUGGAGAUCUGUGUCUUCAAGUUAUGUACUCCAUAUGCAAGUGAAUGAAAUAACAUAUUCUCUCUCUCUUUCUUUGUCAUUUAAACUAUAGAGAAUUUAACUCAACGUGGUUGUUAUAACGUUUAUAUUGAACAUGUUAAUACUUUCUUAUGUAUAUAUAUAGAGGAAGAUCGGACUUGAUUGUAUGAAUUCCACCAGUUUUAUAUAGUCUUUUAUAUUUUUUUUUCUUUUUUUUUCUUUCUUUUACUUCAUUGAUUUUGUUUUUAUUUUUUUUAUUAUUUUUAAUCCUUUAAUUUUUCUACCCUCCUUUAUGUGUGUUAGAAUUGUUACAGUAAUAUAAUCUUUAUCAAUUAUACGUAGGUUAUUAUUAAUCUGAUUUGUUAUGAAAGUUCAACUAAUGUCUAUAUGACAGAUUGUUCAGAAAUCUCAACCUGUUUCUGAAGGCAAACUGCCAGUUUAGAAAAAUCUUAUCUUGAUUGCUCUCGCGUGCCAAAAAAUAUACAUAGUGAUGAUUAACUAUCAAAACAUAUGUUUUUAUCUCUGACAAUCUUACUUUACUUUACCAACGCAUGUUUAAUUGUCUGUCAAAUUAUUUACCAUUAUAAUGAUCUCUGAUAUAAAUUUAUAUAGUUUCAUUUCACUGUCUAUUUUUAUUAUGAAUGUAUCUUAUCUUUAAUAUAUUUAUAUAUAUAUCCUUAUCGACUUAGUUUUUAAUAAUAGUCUUUUAUUUGAACAACUACAACAAAAACAAAAAGGAUAUGCUGCAAUCAUGUAAGCAUCAUUUUUAGAGUGAUUUAAUCAUUUAUUUUGCCUACCCGAGUAGACUAGUACCUUUGAGCAAGUGGCCUGGGGCUCUUAUUUUUGCUCUUUAGUUGGGAUUUUGUCUCGUCGACAUUUUCCCACGAUAAGAAAUAUCUUCCCUCAUUGUUUAUAAUGGGGAACCAAAUAUUUGAAACCUAAUAUUACGAUGAAUUGCACUCAUUUUGAUGUUUAAAAAGGACCUCGUUCAAGAUACCUUUCAUUUGAACCAUAUCUCCUUAAGUAAUUGUUCAUGUUCAUGUUUAUUUUUACCUAUGACUUCAUACUUUGCUAAUACUAAAAAUAUCUGUUCCUUCAGAUUUUUAUUUUGGCAAAGACUAAGCAAUCGAUUUUGAAGAAUAUAAUGUUAUAAUUUAAUGUCAGAUAUAAAUCAUGAGAGCAAUCAAGAGGUCAGUUACUUGAAUCUAGUUAUUAUUGUUAUAUAAUACAUUUGUAUGCGAAUUGCACUUUUCUCUUGUUUAGAAGUAUUUAAAUUUGAUCAUUUUUUUUAUAAAGAAAUGAUUUAUUUAUAAAUUCAUUUUUUUUUUAAAAUUAAAAUUUUUUUUUUUUUAAACUAUGGUUUUGGUAGAGAGAAAAAUAUAGUAAAAGCAACAAUCUUACCGUACAUGUGAAUGCAAAAAUUACGAGUUGGAAAUGAAAUUACUGUCCAUUGAUAAUAUUGGAAAUAUUGAAGAAAACAUUAAUAUUGUUCGUGUGUGGUUUGAAAGUCUGUUCUAGUUUGAUCCUUCGGGUUGUCACAAUAGUGCAUAGGUAACUAAUUGUAUCUGUUUCCGUAAGAAUUGUAUGAAUCGUCAUGGAUUGUUUUGAAAUUCGGGCUCACUGAAUUGAGGUUCUGUAGUCGCUAUUCUCAAGUGGCGAUUGACCUGUAUGGUAUCGUUCCUAACAUCACAUAGGUAGAUUUUUACGAAUUGGCUUAGGGUACUGUUUGUCUCCUCAUGGUUGAUAAAUUUCUGUCUACACCUGGUAAGGUCGUUUUCUUUGUUGUAAUAAAGAAGGUUUUGGUCCUCUACCAUAUUGUUGUGA
rnacentral:lncRNA from 1 species